GCUUCUGCAAUUCUGAGUGUAAUACUUCUCAUAACCCCGUGAAGAUAAUAGAGUAAACAUAUGGACCAGAUGUAAAAUCCUUUGAUGAUAAUGUGAAACUCUAUGCAACCUCAAUUACUGAUUGAAUAGACUAAGCUGCCCUGCUUGCGCUACCCAACUACACAGAAUGCCGAAUGCACCCUAUGUACUCCCCGAACACAUCUAGCUCCAAGUUCACCGUCCCAAUUCAAGAAUGAUAAUGAUGCAGUCCAUAUGGAGCGCAUUGAGCAGCCAACUCUCACUCUACUUCUUACAGAUCUAAGCUUAUGUGCUAAACCUACUUCUGUUUCUUUCUACUGUUUUUAUGCAAUCUACUAGUAACGGUUUUGAAUCUGUUAUGUCACAAAUA